GGCUCCAAGAACUCCCUCCUUCCGAAGUCUGCCCGAACUCCAGCAUCCCUCCUCCCGGCCCUCCUCGGAGCUACGACACUUGGCGGCAGGCGGGGAAAAGGGACUGGUGGCGGGACCCUCGCAGCCACUCCGCCCUGCGCGUCCUCCGCGCCUCCUACCCUCAUCGGAGCCCCAGACACAAAGGCGGGGACCCGAGCUGAGGACCCCGCGCCGGGAAGCCUCCCAACUCCCGGCGCCGCGCACUCACCCCAUCUAGGCGGCGGCAGCGGCUCCCCGGGUCGGCCCCGCUGGCUGCGCAACCCCGCCCGCCGCUUCCCCAGGAAAACGCGGCCGCCGGGCUCGCUUCCUGCUCGGCUUCCUGCGCCUCGGUCCCUCCUCCUCCUCCUCCCCCCGCUGCGGGGGUCCGUGGGCGCCGCGGCUCCCGGGCUGGGCCGGCGGGGCGGGGGUGGCGGCAGCACCACCACGUGGCCGCCCGGCGCCGGCCCCCGCCGACCCGGAUCCCGCGGGAGCCGGGAGGGAGGUGCUAACCAUUCCCCUCCUCUUCCACCGCGCGCGGCCCCAAAUUCCGCGAGUCAGGUGAUCCGGCCCCGCGCUCCGGCCGCAACCUGCGGGAGGUGCUCCCGGCCCGCGCGCCCCAAGCGUCCGCAGCCUGCUUGUAGUUUUCCGCGGAUCGUGGGAUUCUGCCCGGUGAAUCUGUUUGCAUCAUCGUCACCUGAAGCUAAUGGAAACCACCGGUGUUCCGACCCCCGGGAUUUUAGAACGGAUGAGAUACUGAAUAGUAUUCAUUUCUGGUUAACGUCCAAAGUCGUUUGUGGUCGUGUUGGUGUUUGCAAGUCACUAAUCCAAGCGCCUUCUACCCAGAAUCAAAUCGGUCAUAGUUUCCAAAAUUAUUGAACA
rnacentral:lncRNA from 1 species